rnacentral:lncRNA from 1 species
GCAAAAUAGGCCCUGCUUGUCUUUGUCAAAUUUUACAAGCAUCACUCGAUCAGUGAGCAUAGCAUAAAGAAAUGUUGCAGCCAUGCUAAUCAUUUGAUUCCCCAAACCAUUAGCAGGUGUCCAGAUAAGGUACUUACACAAUGUAGCUGCAGCACCUUUGUUCUUUGAGCGUACAAUUUUAAAUUUAGAGACAAAAUAAUCUUACUCCAAAGUAAAGCACUAAAACAUAUUUAAGUUAAUAACUAAUAUGUAUGUCGAUUGAUUGAUAGCCAAAUCAACAAAAGAAAAAAUUGUAUAGUCAUUAAACAAUUACAAGUAAAUUUGUUUUGAAAGUUGAUGUAAAAUUUUUUAAUGAUUUUUUAGAUUAACAAUUAUAAAAAAUCAAUCGAAUAUUGAAAUGUAUGAUUUUCAUAAAUAAUAAAUAAGUAAUAAAUAAGUAAUGUGUAUAUUUUUUCACCGUGAGAUUUUUUUCCAGUGUAUUUUGAUUUAUUUGAAAAGGUAAAAAACAGUCAUUUUUUUACCGUGAGACUUUCAUAUUAGUAAAUAUUAAUUCCUUUCACAUAUCAUAAAAUGAUUAAUUCGUUUUAUAUAUUGAGUACAUCAUAAUUUCAUGAUUAAGAAUAUGAAUCAAUUCAAGUUAUAACAAUUGUACAUUACUUAAUAGACAUAGUUCUUUUUUUGUACUACAAAUGAAUCAUCUCCUUAAUAUGACUAUAGUUAUGAAUACAUAAUCGGUCCAACAUAAUAUAAAUCUUGUUAAUUGUAAUUGGGCACUAUUUGUCUGGGUGCUGCAGGAAUUUGUUGAAUGAAUAACCAUGAGCUUUAAGGGCUUUACACAGGUGAAAGAUUGACCAAAAUGAUACAAUUGGAACUACAUGGAACCGUUAACGGCCGCCAGCUUCACACCAAACCUUAAAUCCUUGCACUCCCUCAAAUUGGGGAAAGAAGAAACGAUAUCAUUCAUGGGCUCUCCGUUGCAGUAAUGCUUGGGAGGCAUAUGAAAGCAAGGCUCUGUUGAGAAAUCCCGUUCACAGCGUGGAAAAUCGCCGCUAUGGUUACCGACUAGCCUGUAGAGAAGCCAUGGCUUUAAAUUUCCCAAUCCUUGAGCAACGUAGCCAAAUGUUGAGAGAGAGGUAGUCACCAACACGUCUGAUAAACUUAACAGAUACAUAUCCGUCCAUGCUUUUAGGUUAUGCCCAUUAUCAUUAAACUUUUGCUUCCCUUCAUGACUUGGCUGAUAAACUUCUAUGACUUCCCCACUAACUGUUGGUUUCUUCAGAUACAUACUCCGUAAAUUAUCCCCGUACUCUUUAUGUAAAGAUGCCACAAGAACUGCUUUUACAGUAGUCAUGUUUUUUCCAGCAGAAGACACUGAAGUUUUCAAAUCCACUUCUGGCAGUAUCUUUUGCUGUAAUGUGCAGCUUAAAACUAGAUUCAUGAUUGCUUGCUUUGGAGUAGUAGCAGCAUUAAAUACUCUUAUCUGUAAGCCUAUCCGUUCACUUGCACUGGCCAAGUGUGCCUGAUAGUAACUGCUGAUUAGUUCCCAUGCAUCGUUGGAAGGGUGAAACAGGUAGCGACCCAAAUGGUGGAAAAUAAUGUCUCUCUCUGGGAACAUGUUGGCAAUCUCCAAGUUGAAAAAUGGGUUCAUGAACAUAGAUGGGACAUAGUAUUGAUCAGACCGCAGAAUCAACAUAGGGAUCUUCCGGAGAAGAUCUUGACUAUGAUCACAGUGAAAAUAUUUCUCAGGGUUUUCGAAGCUGAAUUGUAGAUUAAUAAACAGAACAGAUGGUAAACCCUUCUUUGAAUUGCUAGCCCUAUCCUUGUCUAGCAUGGUCUGAUAUGUUUCGGUAUUGUGUUCAUUCCAAGAACUAAAGGGGGACUUCUGCGGCAAUAUCCAAGUUGAAUUGAGAAAUGGCUCGCAAAAUAGGCCAUGCUUGUCUUUAUUAAAUUUUACAAGCAGCACUCGAUCAGUGAGGAUGGCAUAAAGAAAUGUUGCAGCUAUGCUAAUCAUUUGAUUCCCCAAACCAUUGGCAGUAUUCCAGAUAAUGUACUUACAUUUGGUAGCAGCACCAUUGUUCUUGGAGCUUACAAUCUUUUUCAUGCUUUUGUCGUAAUCUCUAGUAUUUGGUCCGCACCUUCUAUGAAUUUCUUCGUAUUUACGUAGUUUAGAUAUCAAAUAUGGAGAAGGUUUAUGAGGAGAAGCUUUGCGGUACAAAUGGGACUGCAUCCUACUUUUGCAUGAUGCUUCAUCAAAUCCAGAAGUUAACAAUCCCCCAAGCAGUUUGUCAUUGUCAUCAAGAUUAACAGGUUCUGUGGUUGACACAUUUGUUGAACUUGCCAGUGAAGCGUUUUUCGAGCCUGCGGAUUUAAUAAAAGAAGAUAUCAUAGAUUAGUUAGCAAGUACAGGAAGAAAUGACCUAAAGAGGUACUCUACAGUUUUGAGUUUCUGUUCAUGGUAUCGAACGUGUAUGGGUGUUAUGUUACAAUUCAAUUUGUGAGGAAAUUAUAUUAAUCAAAGGAUCAAAUGCUAAUAACUAACAACCAUAUGAGUGCUUUUUAAAAGAGAUAUGAUAAAUGUACACUUCUUACAAUCAUUUAUAUAUACAGUACUAAUUUAUGUGUUUAUUUUUUUUAUCAUAUCAUUUAUUAUAUUUUAAUUUUUUUUUCUCACACUUUUGUCUCCUCUCUGUUUGUUAUAAGAUUUGUUAUGCAAGUAUAUAUCAUUUAUCAUAUGUUAAAAGAGUCAUCAAUCACACUCACUAUAUAAAUGCAGAAAACAACUUUUUCAUGACUGAAAAAUAAUUGAUCUUGAAUAAACUAUUGGGCAAUUUAAUUAUAGCCCUUAAACUUAUAAUUGUCGAUCAAAUUGUUCAUUGAAAUUUAAAAAAAAAGACAAAUGUUAAUCAAAAAGAAAUUUUUGAUUGAGAUGUGCAAAAAAAAAUAUUUUUUUAUAAUUUUUACAAUAAAUAUUUUUUUCUUUAAUAUAUUUUCUCAACAAAUAUCCAAAGGACAUUAAUUACCAAUAUUUAAAAAAAAAAGAAAAAUAAAUCAUAAAAGUGUAAAUCAUUAAUCAACUUAAUUACUCUAUUUAUUAUUAAUUGAUGUCAUUUAACAUAGACAACAAGAUAUGAUUGUCAUAUUAAAAACUUAACUGACAACUAAUUUUGCUUACAUCCAAAGUUGUCACAUCCAGUAUGUAUGAAAAUCAUAAAAAAAAAGGUUGUUGGAAUAAUAAGAUUUAAUUAUUAUUUUAAUCCCUAAAUUUGGAGAAGUCUAUUUUUUAAUUCAUGAAAUUUUAAAAUAUUUUUUUAGUACUUAGAAUUUUGAUAAUAUGCUUUUUUUAGUUCUUGACACAUUAAAUUGAUACUUUAUGAUGAUUUUUAACAUUGUGUGGCAUUUUUAAGUACUAUGAAAGUUUUAAAAUGUAAAUUCAAGCAAUUAAAAAAUAAAAAUUAAUUUAUGAAAACUAAAAAUUGUCACAAAUUCAAGCAUUUUGUGGAUAUUAAUUUAUUAUACUAGAGACUAAAAAGAGUAAUUUGUCAAAAUUCAAGAACAAAAAAAAAAUUUAGGUACUAAAAGAAGCACACAUCUCAAAUUCAAAAACUAAAACAAUAAUUAAACCUAUUUAAAACUAAUUUUGAUAUCAAAGAUUAAUUUUUAUACUUAUUUUAAAAUUUGUUAAAAUUAAUUUGAGAAAAAAAUGAUUUGAUUUUUCAAAUUAAGUCAUAAUAAUGGUUCAUUUUGAAUUUUGUAUUUUAAAAUUGUCGUAAAAGUGUAAAAAAAUUACCACAAAAUACUAAAAAUUGAUAUAAAAUGUCAAUUAAGGACUAAAAAAUAAUUUUUUAAAAAUCAGUAACUAAAAACUCACACAUCCUAAUUUCAGGACUAAACGAAUACUAAUUAAUUUUUCUCUCUACUUGUUUGUUUUUCUUGCCUCAAUAAUUUUUUUAUUAAAUGUGGUAGAAAAGGCUAAGUGACACUUUAUUAUUAAUUAUAUAUGUUUAACACAACUUGAUUUUAAGUGUUAGUAUGAUAGUAUUUUCGCAAAAUGUGAGUCAAAGUACUAAUGAAAAUAUUUGGACAAAAAAAAACAAGGAUGUAAGGAAGGUUUUUUUUUAUUCUACUAAUAUUUUGAUGUUUUUUAUCAUGUGACGUGUCAACCACAUAUACGUGUGUCUAAUUAUUGUCAUUCAUAUGCUCAAUAUGUCAUUUCAUUCUUUUAACGGUCUUGAUUUAAUAAGGGAAAAACUAAGAUGAAUAAUAAUUUACUAUUGAAAAUUGGUUCGCGAUGUUUUUUUUUUAAAAAAAAAUUAACGAGUAAUUAAUUUGAUUACUCUGAAAAAAGGACUAAUUAAUUUGACUCACUAUUAAUUUACAAUUUAACGAAUUAUAUAAAUUAAUUAAUGUAUAAUAUGACUAAUCAUUUUAGUAUUUUAGAAACAAGUUUGAGCUACCAUUAAUGGGACUAGAAUGGUAAAAAAACGGAAUAAAUAAAUUUUGGAAACAAAAAUAAGGAGAAAAUAGCAGAAUGACACAUACCAGCAUAUGCUGCUGUGAUAUUCUCAGAUCUUCCUUCAGUAGCGAAAUUAUUUUGGGAUCUCUCUUGCAGGUCCUUAACUCCACCUAGUUCAAUUAAUUAAGAAACAAAUUGACACGGCAAUAAUGGAAGUUUUGAAUGGAAAUCAGUAAGAAAAACGCAUGCGUAUAACGUGUUAUAUAUAUUUUGGCUUGUUCCUCCCAAUUCAAAUCCAUGAGUUGUAAAGUUUGCCCCACCAUUCAGCAACUCAGCAGUUACGUUCCGAUCUGUUCCUCUUUCUACUUUGCCUUCUGAAAUGGAAGGAAUCAUCAGUUAGAAAAACUCAUGCCUAUAUACUAUUCGUAAUCGUAUAGAAUUAAAGUAUAUCAUGAAUACAAUGCCCACCUAUUCCUGAUGCAGUACUAUUCAUAGUUCUAGCUCUUUCUUCUACAGUGCUACCGUUUUGAAUAUUGCCCGGCAACACCUUAACUUUGCCAAGUCCAUUAUUACGGAAGUAGAGUGAGUUUUAGUCCAGAACAAAAGAAUACAACAGUUAUAUAAACGAAAAAGAAAAACUGUUACGUACCACCGACACGGUAUCAUUGUGUCUUGUUCUUAAGUGAGUCUCAAUCUCAUCAUCCGAUGUAGUAUUGUGGACUCUUCCUCCCAACGGAAAACCAUUGUUUGUAACGUUUUGAGCCGAUGAUUCUGUUAACCCCUCAUAAAAAAUAGCGAAACUUGAGUUUCGAUAGAUUGAAGAAACUAUGAAAGCAACAGGAAAUGAUAUGAAAAGUACAACAAAGAAUAAUGUUGUAAAUCUCUUGGGAUUAAUCUCCAUCUUUUCUGCUGUGGCUUGAAAGAUUUCCAUGAUUAGCUAGCUAGCUAUUACGUCAGUAGUGAUCAAAUUAUCGUUUUAAAACUGCGAAAACAAUAUUCAAGGGAAAGGGAAAUUAAGCAAAGGGUACAAGACAAGAAGUUGCAGGCCUAUCCCAUUAACUUUGUUUAUAUAUACUCAAUUUUCUUGUGACACUUUUUUAGUUUUUCUCUUAUUUUUUAGGCUAAUCAGUAAAGGGGUAAGGUGAAAGGAGUAAUAUCAUGUGGGCCAGCCCCUGAUGGUCCAGCCAUCAAGUGGGCCUUAUUACAAUGACGUUACCUUCUUUUUGUCCAAAGAACGUACACCAUGCAUGACGUUACUUAAAAGAUUAAUUAAUUAAUGAUCACAUGCAUACCAUUUUCUUAAUUAAUAUAUAAUUACUCGUAUUUUAUCACAUCUUUAUCUUUAUAUAAUUCAAGUCCAAAUUUAUAGUAAAUAGAUGCUUCUAAAUAUAUAAAUUAUAUUAUUAUAAUUAAAUUCAUAAUAAAUAAUUUUGAGACAAAAUGAUAAUAGUUCCUUUAUUUGUUGUGUACGGGAGUUAGUAAAUGGAGAAGCUAAGAUUGUUUAGCUUUUGUUGAUUUUGCUUAAAAUUAUAUGUGAGGAGAUACGGAUGAGAUAGUUUUGCAACUCAAAUCACCUAAUACCUCAAAAUUAUAAACAUAAAACACUUAAAUUAAAGAAUAAAUAGAUUAUCUCGCAUGUAUAAUUAUUUUUUUUCCCGAAUGUUCUCUCAAAAUUUUAUAAACUGUAUUAGUAAUGUUCUAUUUGUGUGUGGUGGGGGACCAGAUUUUAAACUACCUAUUAAAGCAUUUUUAAUAGGUAUGUUUACAUUUUGAUCUUUCAUGUAGGAUUUUAUUUUGUUAAGAUGUAUUGUUUGAACAAGAGUAUUGAUCUUUAUGGUAGAAAUCUGUUCUUCUAUAAAAAAAAAAAAGUAAGAUUAACAUGUGGAUCCAAAAAAAUAUUUUAAUAUUUCUUUUCAUAAAACUAUAAAAUAAUUAAUUAAUUUUAAUUAUUUUAAAAUAAAUUAUAAAUAAAUAUUAAAAUGUGAAUCUAUGGUUAGACUUAUAAAAAAAUAAUUUAAGAUUAUAAAAUUUAAUUUGGAAAAAAAAUUAAAAUAAUCUCUAAAAUAUAUGACAUUGAAUAUACCAAAAAAAAAAUCUUGUAUUAGAUAAUGACCUUAAAGUUAGUAGAUGUUUCCCGCAAAGCACUUGUCGGCAGAUUCCCCUUUCCAUGAUUUCUUGUCCAGUCUCGCGAAUGCCUAUUAUUCAGAAAUAAUUAGUCAAGAGGUCAAUUGCUUGAUUGGCCUCUGAAAAACCAUGCAUCCAACUAAUGGCCCCAUCAUUUGUGCAAAAUGGGAAUUUCUGUUAAGAAUGGAGAAGCACUUAUACCUUGGUAAACAACCUCUACAAAUGGCUGUUGAAUAAUCAGACUCGACAUUCAUGCAUGUGUAAAGCCAAACUAGUUAAGGCAUGAAAAAUAUACUCCAGAUCAACUCUGCUUAAGUUAUGGAACAAUCUCCUACUUUAGUUGAGAAUUUCUGAAUAAUUAAUAUCUAAUAAUAAUUCUUUCAAUUCGUAACCUAUUUGCUUGACACCUUUAUCUCAACACGCUACCACCCAAUCUGAUUGAGCGCUGGCUUCCACGAUAUAGCGUCAUUUGGACUUAUGGCUCUAAAGGGCCCAUGAAAAGGACGAAACAAUUUAAUAGCUUUGAGAAUAUUAAGUUUAUGGCAUAUGUAUGCAUGUGAAACCAAAUGAAUUUAUUUCCGCUUGUGGUUCUUAGCUUUGGAAUUGAAAUUAAAUCAAUUCAUUUCGUGAAGUCCACACGGCAUCAAAUGCAAACAAAGCAAAAUGUUACACAACCACGUGCGUAUAUUGGCAUUAUAAAAUUAAAGUUGGUAAGCAAGUGGGAGCAUAUGGCUCCAAACUUUGCCCAAAUUAACGUGUGGUGUAGAAUUGUGUACCAGAUUUAGGCGUCUACUAGUUCUCUCGAUUUAUCAAAAGAUAAACUAUUGUGGGGAACUUUCUAUUGUGAGAUUCAUCAUAAAUUCAGGAUCAAUUAAUGCAUUUUGUUGUUGUUGUUGUAUGAGGAAUGAGAAAUUUCGACCCUUAGAAGAAGACGAAUUGGUAUCAAGAACAGGAAGAAAAUACGAAGUUACAGAUCAUUGCAUCUUUUUAUGAAGUACGAAACAUUUGUGGAAUACCAAUAGAAUAUAAGUAUAACAUAAAGUCUCGAGAUAUCAUUAAACACGCAAUUGACAUAGCAUUAUUUUAACAACUUAAUUAGUGUUCAAGUUAUAAGUAUUUAAAUAUGUUAAAUAUUAAGAGAACUUUAUUAUACAUAACGAUUGUGUCUUAUUUGAAAAUGGUAGUCUCCAUCAGAAUUAAAAAAAAAAAAAAAAAGUCCCUACAUCGUAAUACAAAAUCAACAACAAAAUUUUUACAAAAAAUGAAAACAAUUACAGCAACUACGUACUGUUAACCAGCUUCAGACCAUAACAAUAAUCCUUGCACUCCCUCAAAUAGGGGAAAGAAGAAACAACAUCUUUGAUAGGUUUUCCGUUGCAGUAAUGCUUGGGAGGAACAUGAUAACAAGGCUCCGAUGAGAAAUCUCGUUCACAGGAUGGAAAAUGGGUGUCAUUGUUGACUAGCCUGUAAAGAAGCCACGGUUUCAAAUUCCCCAAUCCCUGAGCAACGUAGCCAAAAGUAGAGAGAGAGGUAGUCACUAACUCCUCAGAUAAACUUAUUAGAUACAUGUCUAUCCAAGCUUUUAGAUUAUGCUUAUUAUCAUUAAACUUUUGAUGCUCUUCGUGACUUGGCUGAUAAACUUCUAUGACUUCCCCACUAACUGUUGCUUUCUUCAGAUACAUACUCCGUAAAUUAUCUCCAUACUCUCUAUGUAAAGAUGCCACAAGAACUGCCUUUACACUAUGAUUUUUUCCGGCUGAAGUUUGCAAAUCCACUUGUGGCAGUAUCUUAUGCUUCAAGGUGCAGCUUAAAACUAGAUCCAUGACUGUUUGUUGUGGAGUAGAAACGGGACUAAAUACUCUAAUCUGUAAGCCUAUCCGUUUAUCUGCCUUGGCCAAGUGUUCCUGAUAGUAAUCGCUGAUCAGUUUCCAUGCCUCGUUUGAAGGGUGAAAAAGGUAACGCCCCAAACGGUGGAAAACUGUGUCUUUCUCUGGAAACAUUUUGGUAACCUCCUGGUUGAAAAAUGGGUUCAUGAACAGAGACGGCACAAAGUAUUGAUCAGACUGCAAAAUCAACAAAGGAACUUCCCGAAGAAGAUAUUGACUAUGGUCACAGUGAAAAAAUUUCUCAGGCUCACUGAGGGUGUGCUGUAGAUUAAUAAACAGAACUGAUGGUAAAUCAUCCUUUGAAUUGCUAGUCCUAUUCCUAUCCUUCUCUAGCAUGGUCUGAUAUGUUUCUAUAUGCUUUUCAUUCCAGAAAGGAGACUUCUCAGGCAAUACCCAAGUUGAAUUGAGAAACGGCUCGCAAAAUAGGCCCUGCUUGUCUUUGUCAAAUUUUACAAGCAUCACUCGAUCAGUGAGCAUAGCAUAAAGAAAUGUUGCAGCCAUGCUAAUCAUUUGAUUCCCCAAACCAUUAGCAGGUGUCCAGAUAAGGUACUUACACAAUGUAGCUGCAGCACCUUUGUUCUUUGAGCGUACAAUCUUUCUCAUGCUUCUGUCGUAAGCUCUACUAUUAGGUCCGCACCUUCUGUGAAUAUCUUCAUAGUUACGUAGUUUAGAUAUCAAAUAUGGAGAAGGUUUAUGAGGAGAAGCUUUGCGGUACAAUUGGGACUGCAUCCUACUUAUGCAUGAUGCUUCAUCAAAUCCAGUGGUUAAAAGUCCAC